AAUAUUCGACAAUGGGGGCAACCCUGAUCCAUCCAUGCCGCGUGUGUGAAGAAGGUCUUCGGAUUUUAAAGCACUUUAAGUUGGGAGGAAGGGCUUUAGGUUAAUACCCUGAAGUUUUGACGUUACCAACAGAAUAAGCACCGUCUAACUCUGUGCCAGCAGCCUCGGUAAUACAUAGGGUGCAAGCGUUAAUCGGAAUUACUGGGCGUAAAGCGCGCGUAGGUGGUUAAGUAAGAUGGGUGUGAACUCCCCGGGCUUAACCUGGGAUCUGCUUUCAUAACUGCUGAGCUAGAGUACGGUAGAGGGUAGUGGAAUUUCCUGUGUAGCGGUGAAAUGCGUAGAUAUAGGAAGGAACACCAGUGGCGAAGGCGACUACCUGGACUGAUACUGACACUGAGGUGCGAAAGCGUGGGGAGCAAA
rnacentral:rRNA from 1 species